AAACUGUUUUAAGAGAACAGAACAAAAAGCAAUAUCUGUAAUUCAUGAGAAACAAAUAUGGAAUAUUCCUAAGAGAGGUAAAAGAAAGAAAAUAUGACCUUCUGAUUUACAAUGAAAUAAGAGAUACAGCAAAUAAAUUAAAUGUAACAAAUAGUUAUCAAAUUUUUAAAAAAUAUUAUUCAGACCCCUAGAAACAGAAAGGAGCUCCGAUUUCUAAUAAAGAUAACGCUACUUCAACCUGUUGGCAUCAGAUUCAUUAAUGAACAAGCAAUAAAAUUUACAAAUGAAAAGGAGACAGAAGAAUCUGUUAAUUCAAAAUAAUAUCUGUGAGAGAAAUCCAUUCCAGAAUAUUUACAAGAAAGAAUUAUUGACUAAUUUAACCUUACAUCUUCCCCCACAUGAAUCUAUAAAGUGCGUUGCUACUAACCACAGAUUAACAGAUUUUACAACCAAGAAAAAAUGAGUAAUUUACAGGACCAGAAGAGAUCAAUGCUUACCCACAAAAGCCUAUAGCAAAAAUGAGUGAUUUUGAAAUGAAGAAUAAAUUUGAUUUAGUUUCUUGAAGAACUCCGUAUGUUUCAUAAAUUAGUAAGGAAAAUGGAAUUUUGUGCAAUGAAGAAGCAAACCCCAACCAAAAGGACUACCUAGAUAAAAGCUGUGAUUUAAAAAAAUGUUCCACCGAACAAACAACAAAUGCAACUUCUUUACACUGCGGCGCUGCGAGUGCAAACAUAUCCAAAUCUCUCCAAAGUUCAUUUAAAUGGGGAAACAAUACAAAAGAAAAGAGAACAGGAUAAUCCUCGGAAAUACAGUUCAUCAGCUUGCCUCGGAUGAAGAAUUAUCCCACAGCCUUCUGAGAUUGGUAAAAAAAAUGGAUGCUUUUAUUUCAUUUGUAACGUCAGAAAUAAGUAGAUCUCAAUUCUCCUACUUCUCAUUUAAAGUGGCACUAAAAUGAUAAAUAUUCUUAACAUGAUAUAAGAUGGGGAAGCAGCUUCCCCAGUGGAAGGAGCCAUGGAAGUCAGAAGAACUGGGAUCUAAAUUCCAGAUCUAUCGAAAGAUCACAGAGAAAGCGUUACAGAGUUUUUUAUCCCCGUAAAUGGAUGGAAAGAAAGAGCUGACAGCAUUCAGAAAGAAGGUAGCCUUUUGUCAAAUGGAAUCGUAAGAUUAUAUCCUCUAAAGACUUGCAGUGGACCAAUCAGGAUUGGACUGUCAAGAAGAGCUAAAGCUAAACAACUUCAUCCAUAUCUUAAAUAAUUAUAUAAUAAGGAUGUUAGUAAUGCUAUACUUUAAUGUUUAAAUUGUCUGAAAAUAGUAGUUUCUUUUCCUGGAAAGCAAAGUUUACAAUUCAGGUUUUGCCAUUUUACUAAAGUAAAAAAAUAUGGUUUACUAGGGGUAGCCAUAACACAACUUCACGUCACAACAUUUUCUGCUAUAUUUAUAAGUGUAAUUUGAAUGUUCCUACUUUAAUAAAAAUAUUAAAGCAUUUUUAAAAAUUUA